rnacentral:rRNA from 1 species
UAGGGAAUCUUCGGCAAUGGGGGGAACCCUGACCGAGCAACGCCGCGUGAGUGAAGAAGGUUUUCGGAUCGUAAAGCUCUGUUGUUAAGGAAGAACGAGUGUGAGAAUGGAAAGUUCAUGCUGUGACGGUACUUAACCAGAAAGGGACGGCUAACUACGUGCCAGCAGCCGCGGUAAUACGUAGGUCCCGAGCGUUGUCCGGAUUUAUUGGGCGUAAAGCGAGCGCAGGCGGUUAGAAAAGUCUGAAGUGAAAGGCAGUGGCUCAACCAUUGUAGGCUUUGGAAGCUGUUUAACUUGAGUGCAGAAGGGGAGAGUGGAAUUCCAUGUGUAGCGGUGAAAUGCGUAGAUAUAUGGAGGAACACCGGUGGCGAAAGCGGCUCUCUGGCCUGUAACUGACGCUGAGGCUCGAAAGCGUGGGGAGCGAACAGG